UACGAAGGGGACUAGCGUUGUUCGGAAUUACUGGGCGUAAAGCGCACGUAGGCGGAUUUGUAAGUCAGGGGUGAAAGCCCGGGGCUCAACCUCGGAACGGCAUUCGAUACGGGACGGCUGGAGACCGGGAGAGGAGAGUGGAAUAGCCAGUGUAGAGGUGAAAUUCGUAGAUAUUGGCUGGAACACCGGUGGCGAAAGCGGCUCUCUGGCCCGGUUCUGACGCUGAGGCGCGAAAGCGUGGGGAGCAAACAGG
rnacentral:rRNA from 1 species